AUAUUUGAUAAGAUACCAGCAAUAAAAUUGGAACUAUACAAAGAAAAUCAGCAUCUCCCCUGGUCAAGGAUGACGAACAAAUCGAGAGAUGGUCAUCUUGAAGAU
rnacentral:snRNA from 1 species